rnacentral:rRNA from 1 species
UACGUAGGGGGCAAGCGUUGUCCGGAAUCAUUGGGCGUAAAGCGCGUGUAGGCGGCUUGGUAAGUCCGCUCUGAAAGCCCGGGGCUCAACCCCGGGAGGCGGGUGGAUACUGUCAAGCUCGAGUCCGGAAGAGGCGAGUGGAAUUCCUGGUGUAGCGGUGAAAUGCGCAGAUAUCAGGAGGAACACCAGUGGCGAAGGCGAGUCUCUGGACGACCCCUGACACUGAGGCACGAAAGCUAGGGGAGCAAACAGG